rnacentral:rRNA from 1 species
GAUUGAACGCUGGCGGCAUGCCUUACACAUGCAAGUCGAACGGCAGCGCGGACUUCGGUCUGGUGGCGAGUGGCGAACGGGUGAGUAAUGUAUCGGAACGUACCUUUCAGUGGGGGAUAACGUAGCGAAAGUUACGCUAAUACCGCAUAUUCUGUGAGCAGGAAAGCAGGGGAUCGCAAGACCUUGCGCUGAUUGAGCGGCCGAUAUCAGAUUAGCUAGUUGGUGGGGUAAAGGCCUACCAAGGCUACGAUCUGUAGCGGGUCUGAGAGGAUGAUCCGCCACACUGGAACUGAGACACGGUCCAGACUCCUACGGGAGGCAGCAGUGGGGAAUUUUGGACAAUGGGGGCAACCCUGAUCCAGCCAUGCCGCGUGAGUGAAGAAGGCCUUCGGGUUGUAAAGCUCUUUCGGCCGGGAAGAAAUCGCAUAGGUUAAUACCCUGUGUGGAUGACGGUACCGGAAUAAGAAGCACCGGCUAACUACGUGCCAGCAGCCGCGGUAAUACGUAGGGUGCGAGCGUUAAUCGGAAUUACUGGGCGUAAAGCGUGCGCAGGCGGUUUCGUAAGACAGAGGUGAAAUCCCCGGGCUCAACCUGGGAACUGCCUUUGUGACUGCGAAGCUAGAGUACGGCAGAGGGGGGUGGAAUUCCACGUGUAGCAGUGAAAUGCGUAGAGAUGUGGA